rnacentral:rRNA from 1 species
UACAGAGGUCUCAAGCGUUGUUCGGAUUCAUUGGGCGUAAAGGGCGCGUAGGCGGUUUGCUAAGUUGAAUGUGAAAACUCUGGGCUUAACCCAGAGCCUGCAUCCAAAACUGGCAGACUUGAGUACUGGAGGGGAAAGCGGAAUUCCUGGUGUAGCGGUGAAAUGCGUAGAUAUCAGGAGGAACACCGGUGGCUAAGGCGGCUUUCUGGACAGUAACUGACGCUGAGGCGCGAAAGCUAGGGGAGCAAACAGG